GAUAAGAACGUAGCGAAAUGCGAUAAGUAGUGUGAAUUGCAGAAUUCAGUGAAUCAUCGAAUCUUUGAACGCACAUUGCGGCCAUAGGUAUUCCUUUGGCCAUGCCUGUUCGAGCGUCAUUUACACCCUCAAGCCUAGCUUGGUGUUGGGCGCCUGUCCCGCCGUUUUCGCGCGCGGACUCGCCUCAAAGUCAUUGGCGGCGGUCGUGCCGGCCCCCUCGCGCAGCACAUUUGCGCUUCUCGGAGGCCCGGCGGAUCCGCGCUCCAGCAAGACCUUUCACGACUUGACCUCGGAUCAGGUAGGGAUACCCGCUGAACUUAAGCAUAUCAAUAACGGAGGA
rnacentral:misc_RNA from 1 species